AGCGUACACGGUGGAUGCCCUGGCAGUCAGAGGCGAUGAAGGACGUGCUAAUCUGCGAUAAGCGUCGGUAAGGUGAUAUGAACCGUUAUAACCGGCGAUUUCCGAAUGGGGAAACCCAGUGUGAUUCGUCACACUAUCAUUAACUGAAUCCAUAGGUUAAUGAGGCGAACCGGGGGAACUGAAACAUCUAAGUACCCCGAGGAAAAGAAAUCAACCGAGAUUCCCCCAGUAGCGGCGAGCGAACGGGGAGCAGCCCAGAGCCUGAAUCAGUGUGUGUGUUAGUGGAAGCGUCUGGAAAGGCGUGCGAUACAGGGUGACAGCCCCGUACACAAAAAUGCACAUGCUGUGAGCUCGAUGAGUAGGGCGGGACACGUGGUAUCCUGUCUGAAUAUGGGGGGACCAUCCUCCAAGGCUAAAUACUCCUGACUGACCGAUAGUGAACCAGUACCGUGAGGGAAAGGCGAAAAGAACCCCGGCGAGGGGAGUGAAAAAGAACCUGAAACCGUGUACGUACAAGCAGUGGGAGCCUCUUUAAUGGGGUGACUGCGUACCUUUUGUAUAAUGGGUCAGCGACUUAUAUUCUGUAGCAAGGUUAACCGAAUAGGGGAGCCGAAGGGAAACCGAGUCUUAACUGGGCGUUAAGUUGCAGGGUAUAGACCCGAAACCCGGUGAUCUAGCCAUGGGCAGGUUGAAGGUUGGGUAACACUAACUGGAGGACCGAACCGACUAAUGUUGAAAAAUUAGCGGAUGACUUGUGGCUGGGGGUGAAAGGCCAAUCAAACCGGGAGAUAGCUGGUUCUCCCCGAAAGCUAUUUAGGUAGCGCCUCGUGAAUUCAUCUCCGGGGGUAGAGCACUGUUUCGGCAAGGGGGUCAUCCCGACUUACCAACCCGAUGCAAACUGCGAAUACCGGAGAAUGUUAUCACGGGAGACACACGGCGGGUGCUAACGUCCGUCGUGAAGAGGGAAACAACCCAGACCGCCAGCUAAGGUCCCAAAGUCAUGGUUAAGUGGGAAACGAUGUGGGAAGGCCCAGACAGCCAGGAUGUUGGCUUAGAAGCAGCCAUCAUUUAAAGAAAGCGUAAUAGCUCACUGGUCGAGUCGGCCUGCGCGGAAGAUGUAACGGGGCUAAACCAUGCACCGAAGCUGCGGCAGCGACACUAUGUGUUGUUGGGUAGGGGAGCGUUCUGUAAGCCGUUGAAGGUGGCCUGUGAGGGUUGCUGGAGGUAUCAGAAGUGCGAAUGCUGACAUAAGUAACGAUAAAGCGGGUGAAAAGCCCGCUCGCCGGAAGACCAAGGGUUCCUGUCCAACGUUAAUCGGGGCAGGGUGAGUCGACCCCUAAGGCGAGGCCGAAAGGCGUAGUCGAUGGGAAACAGGUUAAUAUUCCUGUACUUGGUGUUACUGCGAAGGGGGGACGGAGAAGGCUAUGUUGGCCGGGCGACGGUUGUCCCGGUUUAAGCGUGUAGGCUGAUUUUCCAGGCAAAUCCGGAGAAUCAAGGCUGAGGCGUGAUGACGAGGCACUACGGUGCUGAAGCAACAAAUGCCCUGCUUCCAGGAAAAGCCUCUAAGCAUCAGGUAACAUCAAAUCGUACCCCAAACCGACACAGGUGGUCAGGUAGAGAAUACCAAGGCGCUUGAGAGAACUCGGGUGAAGGAACUAGGCAAAAUGGUGCCGUAACUUCGGGAGAAGGCACGCUGAUGGUAGGUGAAGCGACUUGCUCGUGGAGCUGAAAUCAGUCGAAGAUACCAGCUGGCUGCAACUGUUUAUUAAAAACACAGCACUGUGCAAACACGAAAGUGGACGUAUACGGUGUGACGCCUGCCCGGUGCCGGAAGGUUAAUUGAUGGGGUCAGCCGCAAGGCGAAGCUCUUGAUCGAAGCCCCGGUAAACGGCGGCCGUAACUAUAACGGUCCUAAGGUAGCGAAAUUCCUUGUCGGGUAAGUUCCGACCUGCACGAAUGGCGUAAUGAUGGCCAGGCUGUCUCCACCCGAGACUCAGUGAAAUUGAACUCGCUGUGAAGAUGCAGUGUACCCGCGGCAAGACGGAAAGACCCCGUGAACCUUUACUAUAGCUUGACACUGAACAUUGAGCCUUGAUGUGUAGGAUAGGUGGGAGGCUUUGAAGUGUGGACGCCAGUCUGCAUGGAGCCGACCUUGAAAUACCACCCUUUAAUGUUUGAUGUUCUAACGUGGACCCGUGAUCCGGGUUGCGGACAGUGUCUGGUGGGUAGUUUGACUGGGGCGGUCUCCUCCUAAAGAGUAACGGAGGAGCACGAAGGUUGGCUAAUCCUGGUCGGACAUCAGGAGGUUAGUGCAAUGGCAUAAGCCAGCUUGACUGCGAGCGUGACGGCGCGAGCAGGUGCGAAAGCAGGUCAUAGUGAUCCGGUGGUUCUGAAUGGAAGGGCCAUCGCUCAACGGAUAAAAGGUACUCCGGGGAUAACAGGCUGAUACCGCCCAAGAGUUCAUAUCGACGGCGGUGUUUGGCACCUCGAUGUCGGCUCAUCACAUCCUGGGGCUGAAGUAGGUCCCAAGGGUAUGGCUGUUCGCCAUUUAAAGUGGUACGCGAGCUGGGUUUAGAACGUCGUGAGACAGUUCGGUCCCUAUCUGCCGUGGGCGCUGGAGAACUGAGGGGGGCUGCUCCUAGUACGAGAGGACCGGAGUGGACGCAUCACUGGUGUUCGGGUUGUCAUGCCAAUGGCACUGCCCGGUAGCUAAAUGCGGAAGAGAUAAGUGCUGAAAGCAUCUAAGCACGAAACUUGCCCCGAGAUGAGUUCU
rnacentral:rRNA from 1 species